GGUAAGAUGGCUGAAUAUAGGUGAUAGACUGUAAAUCUAUUAAUGAGAAAAUUUUCUCUCUUAUCA
rnacentral:tRNA from 1 species